CAUUUUUUUUAAUUUUCUUCUUCAAAUUGUUUCUUUCUUUACUAAUUAGUUAAUUAACUUAAUCUAAUUUCUAAUUUAAAUGUUAAUCGAUCUGUUUUGUAGAAUCUGUGGUCAGUUCAGUGGAAAAUAUGUUUACUCGGAUCUCCUUUUUGUAAGAAAAAUUUUGGAAAGAGACAUUAAUUCAAAAUGGUUACCUCAAAGUGUCAACCCUUUUUUUUUUGUUUCUCUCUCCAACUAAUCAACUUAAUUUCCAUGUAAAUCAAAUUUUCUUAAUCAACAUAAAUCUUCUAUGGAGAGAUUAAAUUAAUCUAGUUGUGUUAAACACCAUAAAUGAUGGAUUCCAGUUGAAUGUGAUACUUACCUUAAAUCUUACCUUUCAUCUUACCAUCAAUUACACCUUCACAUUUUAUAGACAAUUAUUAAGCUCUCAUGAUCUAGUUAGUAAAUCUAAUAAUCUUGUGAAUUUAUUCCUGGCAACAAAUACCAAUAAGGAAAAAUGGAAGACUCUUAAUGAAUUUACCCUUUUUGACUAUGGAAAAAAAAGUUCUCCUAUAACAUUGAAGUCUUUCAAAUUGGUAAUUAAAUGGGAACAUUGAAUAUUGAUCAUAUCUUACAAAAUGGUUUAUAAAUUACAUGUGAAGAUUGAACGUCAAUCAAUUAACCAUUUGAACACAUGGUUCAUGGGGAAUGUUACUUAACAAAGGUGCCGGAGUGUAAAUGUUGAGGUAUAAACAGUCUUCACUUUGAUUUUGAAGUAAUGGGAUCAACCUUUUCAAUUGGAAAAGUCGAUCUCUGGUCAUCCGACGUAGUGUUUCCGGUUCAUUGGUAAUAUUUGGUAAAUUUUGUGGACAAACGUGACCAUGUUUAUCAGAAUUUCUGAUUCCACUCCAAUGAGCUGGAGUAACCGGAGGCAUGAAUCUUAAUUUACCAAUCUUUUAACACACAAAUUUGAUUAUUCUGGUUAACUGAUUGGAUUUAGUUAAUUACUCACCUAGAAACAUUUCAACCGGCUGUAAAUUGUGUGGUAAAUUAAUGUGAACACCUCGUAAUGAUCCAUAUUUAGUUGUAACUAUCCGAGUUGAUGGUCUCUUAUUUUGAGUAAAAUCAGCCAACACACUGACACAAUUUAACCAUAGAACAAUUAAAUUAGUGGUUAAUGAGAUGAUUAGAAUAAACUUCACUUGUUGGAUAUUCACCGAUAAUUGUUGGAUUGAUAUCGA